AUUCUGCAAACUUUGAAAGUAAACAUGAUUGGCUCUACUUAGCUUUUUGCCUGAAAACAGUAGUUCAUGACAAUGUAUGAGGCUGGAGGGUAGAUUAUGUUUUAAAAUGAUAUCCUAUGGUAGCAGUGUUCAAACUUUUAAGCCUCUGAGCCCCCUGCCCCACUUUUUUUUUCUUAAGUGAAAACUUGUGAGGAAGUUCGAUAUACUGAGCAGAUAAAGGUGAAACUACUCUGAUUGAAGCAGGGAGUAGGGCCUUUUACCUCUCCUUUCUUGGCAUAAUGCCUAAGAAGUUUCCGCUGGAAAUCACUGUCUCAUAGAAUUAGAGAUUUUCUUUUCAUUCUGCCUUUAUUUUGUCAUUUUAUAAUUUCUGAAGGUUAGUUUGGUUGUGAUGUUUUGAAAGUUAAUAUCCAGGUGUUUUUAUAAGAAAAAUAUCCUUGCUAAUGUUCAGUUUUAAGUCCUUUUGAUUGGCUUAAUUUUAAAAUAUGACUUAUGUUUUUGAAUAGGUAAUAGAUUUAUAUGGCACAAAAUUAAAAAUGAACGAAGGUUUGUCUGGUGAAAGGUCUCCUCACCCUUCUCUGCCAACCAACCACCCAGUUCUCUUUGGAGACAACUAAUACCAGUUUCUUAGUUUCUUGUGUAUCCUUCCAAUGAUACGUAACACUGCAAACAUACUAACAUGCAAGCAAAUACAUUUUUCUUUUUAAACCCCAAAAAGGGAACGUAUUGUAUAUAUUGCUUUUUUUUUUUAAGGACCAUUCUUCAAGAUACAUUGUUAUCAGUAAGUAAUUGUAUUGACAUUUAUUGAACAGGCUCGUCCUAAUUCAUUUCACCAGUCUCCUCUUGAUAAUUGUUUCUAGUUGGUUACUGUUGUAUUCAAUGCAGCAAAUACUCUUGGACGUGUCAUUUCACACAUGUGUGAGUAGAAAUGUAGGAUAAAAUUCUACAAGUGAAAUUACUGGGCCUCAGGAUGGUAGCGUUUGUAGUUUUGAUCAAUGCUGCCAAUUCACCCUGUACGGACGUUGUUAAACUCCCAAGAGCAAAGGAUGAGCCUGGCCCUCGCGUGCUUGCCCGAACACCGCGUUACUGUCUGAGGAGGAAAAGUGGUUUCUCUCCUCUGUAGUUGUUAAUUUGCAUUUCCCUAUAAAUGAAGUCAAACAGCUUUUCCUAUGCCUAAGAGCCAUUUUUUUUUCCUAGUCCAUGAGCUCUCUGUAUAUAUCUUUUACCCUUUUUUCCUAUUGGGCUGAUAGCGUUGUUUCUUGUUGGUUUGCCAGGAAGUUUAGGCCUUUGUAAAAUGAAUUUCUAGUUUGUUAUAUGUCUUUUGGUUUUUCUUAUGGUGGCUUUUAACAUGCAGAAACAUCCUAUUGCAUUAAAUUGAACUACAUAUAAAUGAUUAAUUUUUCUCUUUUUUAGACAAAUGAUCUCUGAUUUUUGUGUAUAUUUUAAUGAACCCUUCCCCAGUUUAGAUUAUUAAAAAAAAAGGUUUUUUUCCUCAUUCUAUAUUUUUAUGGGUUCAUUAAGCUUUGAUUCAUCUGGAAUUUAUUUGAAUGUAAGGUGUGAGGCAUGGAUCUAAAUUUAUUUAAUUCAUUUAUCAGAGGAGCAGGUUGUAUGUCUUUGGUGGAUCAGUGCAUUAAAAUUAAAUGCAGGUUGGGACAACAUCAGGAUUAUGUGGCAGUUUUUAAUGAGAAGUAGAGAAUUCUUGAUAUUUAAAAAAUAUAAACUCUUCAUAAGUAGGACAGGAAUAUCUAAGAAUACCCUAAGGAUAAAAGAGCCCAAGUGCCUGCCUACUACAGGUAAAAACCUAACCACCCUUCUCCAGCUUGGCCUUCCACAAAGGCCAAACAUAAAGGAGUAGUAUAAUGCAAAGAAAGGCAAAUAGUAUUCAGCCUUUUGACGUUCGCUGCAUGGUGUUUGAGGCUUGACUCACGCAAGUCAACCCUGAUUUUUAGAAUGUUAUCCAAAUUAGAACUCUCAUUAGGUUUGGGAACAAUGCUCAUUUAAAAAUUAACAUGAAUUAAACACUCCCAAGAGUAGCAUGUUUGUAAUAAUUGACAAAUGGGCUUGUAUUAAUGUGAGAGGCAAGCAGAUAACAGGUCAGUUGGUUGACUCAAAUUUUAAAGAAAAUUAUUUACCUUAAUGUGACAUAAAUCGUGUACAGGUUUAUCUUUACCAAGUCAAUAAAUUAAUAGAAAACCAUUUUACAUCUAAAAUAUUUGAUGAAAAGUAGGCCAGGGAGACCAGAGGUAGUUGAGGUAAUUUAAACAAGUGAUCAAGAGUCUGAACCAGGGCAGUUGCCAGUGGGCAGUAUUAAGGAGACAUAAAUGGAUUAUCAGUGGAUUCUUUCAGUCAUUCAGCAAACACUGAACUCUUGUUGUGACAUAGAUAACUAAGAAUAUCAGGAUUUAAUUUGUGGGCAGCUAAUUUUUUUUAACUGGGAGGAUGGAAACCCUGGUGACACAGUGGUUAAGAGUUUGGUUGCUAAUCAAAAGGUCAGCAGUUUGAAUCCUCCAGACAACUCCUUGGAAACCCUGUGGAGCAGUUCUGCUCUGUCCUGUAGGAUCACUAUGAGUCGAAUCGACUCUCCGGGAACGAGUUUGCGUUUUUUGGUUUAAUUAGGAGGAUUGUGGUAGGGAAUAUAGGAGAAAUAGAAGGUCUGCAGAAUGAGCUAGAGGCUUCUGUUCUGGAUAGAUUGCAUUCGAAUUAAAGAUUUCUAUUAAGCAGUUGGCACUUUCAAUCAGGAAUGUGAGAGGCUGGUGAGAGUAUGAGUUGCAUAUAUAAGAUAGACCCUCAUGGAGGGAUUUUUAACAACGUAGAGUUGGGUGAUAAUGUUCAGGGUUAGAAUAAGUCUACAAGAGACUGGAGGACCAAACCUUGGGGAAUACCUGUGUUCAAGGGUUAGGUAGGAGAGAAGAUAGAGGGUUUGGGAAGAUACAGAGCUAUCUGAAAGCAGAGAAGUAAGAUGUAGGAGGCAACUUCAGUUGGCCUCUGCCUUAGGGAAGUAGGUGUCUCUGCUGAAAACAAGUUGGGUAAUUGUGUCAUUGGGGAGCUUGAGGGGAGUGACAUAGGGCAGUCUGUCUCCUCAAACUUAAGCAGUGGGAAAUUGUUAAAUAUGUCCUACACACCCUCCUUUACCUUCACCUGCCACCCCACGAUUAGCUGGAAGCAGCUGUGGUAAGUAUACAUCUCUUUGAAAGCUUGAGUUUUAUCAGUUCAUGCAAAAUUUGCACUUUAUUCAUAGACUAUCCAUGGCCGUGUGUGUGUGUGUGUAUAAAUGAAAGAGCCUUUCUCCCCUCAAAUGUUAGAGUUGAUUCUUCAGAACAGUUGUGCCAUGUCUAUAAGCUCCAUGGCUUCCAGUAUCCAUGAUGAAAUAUCCCAGUCUGAGGCACAGUGGUGAGGACAUCAGAGGAUUGCUGAGCAGUGCCAGUUGUGGGGAAUGUUUGUGUCUUUUGAAUGCCACUGACCCAUGAGAGUAAUGAGAAAAAAUUGAAAGUUCUGGGCCACAUAAUUGGAAAAAAAUCUUAAUUUGUUAUUUUUUUUUGGUUUGAUAUUUGAGAGGAAGAAAUAUAAACCUAGUUUCAUAAGCUUGGUUUCCUAAUUUAACUUUUUUCCAUAUAUGCCUCAAAUAAUUUAUUUUGAAAUUAUGGCUAGUUGCUAAAUUGGAGGUUAGAGUGAGAGAACAGACUAAGGAAAGAGACUGAGCUAUGAGUUGAAAAUGACCAUCAAAAGUAGGGAAGAGAGAUGAAGAGACCAAGUUACAUAAGUAAGAAAUGAGCAAGAAUUAGACUCAGCGAAGAAACAGGGAAGAUUUUCUGAUAUGUUUAUGUUUAUGUCAUGUAUUGUUAAUGUUUGUUUCUUUACUGAAUGGAGGAGUUCGUUCUGUGUUCUUCGAGCCUUUUUGAAGGCCUCUCCCACCUAACUCCCACCCCAGUGGUUGACCUGAUUUAGGGCAGCCAAAGGGCCGUUCCCCGGGAGACUAUGGGUCUUGUCUCCUUUGACCAGUUUCGGCUCAGCUAAGAACACUGAGUAUGUAUGUGAGCUGAGUAUGUAUGUGAGCUUCAUUCCGCAGAAGACAGACAAAACGGGAAAGAGUUUUACCUCCGUUAACUGCGUUUGCUGCUGAUGAAAGCUGACAGGAGCUAAUAGCCUAAAAGUGUUGUAGUAUUAUGUUAAUAGAACAUUUUUAAAUACUCGUUUUAAUCCACAUUAAAUACUGAAUUCACAUGGAAGCAACAAUCUCUCCCAGACUUAGCGGUACGGUUCCUUUCGCAGAUUUCUUUCAGAAAACCACUUGCAAAGGCACGUGAUCAGGGAUACACAAAGUCUGUGGCAGACAUGCUGUGGAGCCUCAGAGCUCAGAGACACGGGUUGGAUUUUGUUUAACAAUGCUGUGCUUAAUUAUUACUUUGUCAUUUGCAUGGUCAGUGGAGGGAAGGGCUGUUUUAACUUUUUUCUCAAAAAGAGAAGGAAAUGUCAUGGGUUAGGAUUAGUAGACAUAGCACUACGCUGGGGGUUGAUUCUAGUCUCAGCUCUGCCUCUGAUCAGCUGCGUGACUUUGAGAAAACCAAAGAUCUCUGAGUUUGAUUUUAUGUAUCUAUUCAAUAGAGAGGUUAAAUGAGGACAGUGAUUUCCAAAUCUUUUCUUAGCAUGGACCUUCAUGUUGGAAGGAACUCUUGUACAAAGUAUAAACAAACCUAUUACCACAGAGCUGCUUGAGGCUGGAGACGCUCCCUCCCAUGCCUCUGUCCCUGAUGAGCACCAGAUUGGGUGACUAAACUUAACUCUACCCACGGCUGUUGAGUCACUUCCGACUCAUGGCAACCCCAUGUGUCACGGAGUAAAACUGCUCCAGAGGGUUUUCUUGGCUGUAAUCUUUACAGAAGCAGAUCGCCAGGCCUUUCUUGCACCGUGCUGCCGAGUGGGUUCUUUAGGUUAGUAGUUGAGUGCAAACCAUCUGUGCUACUCAGAGACCUCAAAUUUAACUCUAAACUUCAUUUUUGGUUUAAUUUGUAUUAUUUUUCAUUCCUAUCCUAAAUCUGAGGAGCCCCGGUGGUCCAGUAGUUAAGCACUCAGCUGCUAACUGAAGGGUCGACGGUUCAAACCCACCAGUUGCUCUGCAGGAGAAUAGAACUGGCAUCUGCUUCUGUAGAGAUUUACAGCCUUGAAAACCCUACGGGGCAGUUCUCCUCUGUCCUGUAGGGUCGCUAUGAGUCAGAGUCGAUUCAACAGCACAUAACAAAAAAACCAAAAAACCAAACCCACUGCCAUCGAGUCUACUCCGACUCAUAGCGACCCCAUAGGACAGAGUAGUACUGCCCGAUAGGGUUUCCAAGCAGCGCCUGGCGGGUUCAAACUGCUGACCUCUUGGUUAGCAGCCAUAGCACUUAAC